GGGGAUAUAGUUCAGUUGGUAGAAUGCUUGUCUCACAAGCACAAAGUGCUGGGUUCAAUCCCCAGCAUCACCA
rnacentral:tRNA from 1 species